rnacentral:rRNA from 1 species
UACGAAGGGGGCGAGCGUUGUUCGGAUUUACUGGGCGUAAAGGGCGCGCAGGCGGCUAUCCAAGUCAGGCGUGAAAGCCCCGGGCUUAACCUGGGAGGUGCGUCUGGGACUGGGUGGCUGAGAGAUCGGGAGAGGAGAGGUGGAAUUCCCGAGUGUAGAGGUGAAAUUCGUAGAUAUUGGGAAGAACACCGGUGGCGAAGGCGGCUCUCUGGACCGAUACGUGACGCUGAGGCGCGAAAGCGUGGGGAGCAAACAGGG